UGAGAUAUUGGUGUGCGUGGUUUAUUGUUUUAAUGAGAAUCUUUGUGUGAAAGAUUUACUGGGUACCUAGGGAAAGGGCGGACGGGCCUGGUAUAGAGGGAACCCUACCGUGAAUGUUACCUCAGUUGAACAGGGCUAAAAAGUUCCUUACCAGUAAAGUUUGAGAGAUAUGGUUUACCCUCAUACCGGACAAGAUAUCGAAGUGAUAGAAUGUUUGGUGCCCAUUACUGGACGGAGUAUAGGGACGGCCGGUUAAUUGUUUAAAUUGUAUAUUGGGUUCACAAGUAGGAGGACAUCCCUAUGGACCCCCUAGGGUACCAGUAAGCAAGUAAGAAAGGAAAGUUGUCGUCUCUUGUUCUCUUAUGCGUGAAAAUAAACAGUGGUAUGAAUAUGGGUUUUCAUAGGUUGUUUUAGAAAAACUCGUUGUGAUAAGUACGAAAUAAACGGUUUUCUUUGUUUUGAAUGAAUUUACUCAAAUUAAGGGCUCUAU
rnacentral:lncRNA from 1 species